rnacentral:lncRNA from 1 species
AAAGAUGGUGCCAAGGGUGACAGCGGUGCUCCUGGUCCAAAGGGUGAAACUGGUCUUCCUGGAGUAAAUGGAGCACCAGGCCAACCGGGACCAAGAGGUCCAGCUGGAGAAAGAGGAAGACCUGGGAAUCCUGGUGGCCCUGUAAGUAAUUGCAGACAUUGUUCUUCUCCAGAGGCAGCACAUAUUUGGAUUCAAUAUGCUGAGA